AUUGAACGCUGGCGGCAUGCUUUACACAUGCAAGUCGAACGGCAGCACGGAUUUCGGUCUGGUGGCGAGUGGCGAACGGGUGAGUAAUACAUCGGAACGUACCCAGUAAUGGGGGAUAACUAUCCGAAAGGAUAGCUAAUACCGCAUACGCCCUACGGGGGAAAGAGGGGGAUCGCAAGACCUCUUGUUAUUGGAGCGGCCGAUGGCUGAUUAGCUAGUUGGUAGGGUAAAGGCCUACCAAGGCAACGAUCAGUAGCGGGUCUUAGAGGACGAUCCGCCACACUGGAACGGAUACACGGUCCAGAAUCCUACGGGAGGCAGCAGUGGGGAAUCUUGGACAAUGGGGGCAAGCCUGAUCCAGCAAUGCCGCGUGCGUGAAGAAGGCCUUCGGGUUGUAAAGCGCUUUUGUCAGGGAGCAAAUCCUUGUGGCUAAUACCCACCGGGGAUGAGAGUACCUGAAGAAUAAGGACCGGCUAACUACGUGCCAGCAGCCGCCGUAAAAC
rnacentral:rRNA from 1 species